rnacentral:ncRNA from 1 species
UACCUUAUUGAUUCUGUUCGCGCUAAAUGUUCAGCUAAAAGACUGAGCUAUGCAUAUCGAGUUCAACUUUGGAAUCAAACUGCGAACGAGUCAUAAUAACUGAUGAUAUCUCUUAGGAAUUGUUUGGAUGGAUUACUGCGGCAAUUUUAGAAUUAAUACAUGCGACAAAACUUAACUUUUGCAACGGUGCAUAUACAUAUUAGAGCUAAUCAGUCAUCUUCAGAUGGUAUAGUUUGCAGACUUUGAAUAACGCAGCAUAUUCCGAGUAUUGUCUGCCCUAUUAACCGGAUUGUAGUCUAUUGGUCUACCAUGGUUACUACGGAUAACGGAGAAUGAGGGUUAGACUCCGGAGAGGGAGCCCUUAGAAACGACUACUACAUCCAAAGAAGGAAGCGGAAGCAAAAACUAUUCAAUCUUGAGGAGGUGAGAUAGUGACUAG